rnacentral:rRNA from 1 species
ACUGAACGCUGGCGGCAUGCUUUACACAUGCAAGUCGAACGGUAACAGGCCGCAAGGUGCUGACGAGUGGCGAACGGGUGAGUAAUGCAUCGGAACGUGCCCAGUCGUGGGGGAUAACUACUCGAAAGAGUAGCUAAUACCGCAUACGAUCUAUGGAUGAAAGCGGGGGACCGUAAGGCCUCGCGCGAUUGGAGCGGCCGAUGUCAGAUUAGGUAGUUGGUGGGGUAAAGGCUCACCAAGCCAACGAUCUGUAGCUGGUCUGAGAGGACGACCAGCCACACUGGGACUGAGACACGGCCCAGACUCCUACGGGAGGCAGCAGUGGGGAAUUUUGGACAAUGGGCGCAAGCCUGAUCCAGCAAUGCCGCGUGCAGGAAGAAGGCCUUCGGGUUGUAAACUGCUUCUGUACGGAACGAAACGGCUCUGGUUAAUACCCGGGGCUAAUGACGGUACCGUAAGAAUAAGCACCGGCUAACUACGUG